UACGAAGGGGGCUAGCGUUGCUCGGAAUUAUUGGGCGUAAAGCGCACGUAGGCGGCUUUGCAAGUCGGAUGUGAAAUCCCUCGGCUUAACCAAGGAAGUGCAUCCGAAACUGCAGAGCUUGAGUACUUAAGAGGAUCGCGGAAUUCCCGGUGUAGAGGUGAAAUUCGUAGAUAUCGGGAGGAACACCAGUGGCGAAGGCGGCGAUCUGGGAAGAUACUGACGCUGAGGUGCGAAAGCGUGGGGAGCAAACAGG
rnacentral:rRNA from 1 species